AUUGAACGCUGGCGGCAGGCCUAACACAUGCAAGUCGAACGAGUGGCGGACGGGUGAGUAAUGUCUGGGAAACUGCCUGAUGGAGGGGGAUAACUACUGGAAACGGUAGCUAAUACCGCAUACCAUCGGAUGUGCCCAGAUGGGAUUAGCUAGUAGGUGGGGUAAAGGCUCACCUAGGCGACGAUCCCUAGCUGGUCUGAGAGCAUGACCGGCCACACUGGAACUUGUACACGGUCCAGACUCCUACGGGAGGCAGCAGUGGGGAAUUGUGCACACUGGGCGAAAGCCUGAUGCAGCCACGCCGCGUGUAGUAUGAAGGCCUUCGGGUUGUAAAGUACUUUCAGCGGGGAGGCGUUACCCGCAGAAGAAGCACCGGCUAACUCCGUGCCAGCAGCCGCGGUAAUUC
rnacentral:rRNA from 1 species